rfam:Deltaproteobacteria bacterium CG2_30_66_27 cg2_3.0_scaffold_281_c, whole genome shotgun sequence.
GAAGUUCCGCUCAACCAAAGCCGUAGCGGGCGGGUUGAGACCGAGUCUUGCGGGCGUCGCGGUAACGCGAGGUCCGAAGCGUAGACAGGAGUCGUGCGGGGUGCGGAAAGUCCGCUUCGAAAGAAUC